rnacentral:rRNA from 1 species
AUUGAACGCUGGCGGCAGGCCUAACACAUGCAAGUCGAGCGAGCGGCGGACGGGUGAGUAAUGUCUGGGGAUCUGCCCGAUAGAGGGGGAUAACUACUGGAAACGGUGGCUAAUACCGCAUACUAUCGGAUGAACCCAUAUGGGAUUAGCUAGUAGGUGGGGUAAAGGCUCACCUAGGCGACGAUCUCUAGCUGGUCUGCGAGGAUGAUCGGCAAAACUGGGACGGAGAAAGGGCCCAGAUCCUUACGGGAGGCAGAAGUGGGGAAUAUGGAACAAUGGGGGCAAGCCUGAUGCAGCCAGGCGGGGUGUAUGAAGAAGGCCUUAGGUUUGUAAAGUACUUUCAGCGGGGAGGCGUUACCCGAAGAAGAAGCACCGGCUAACUCCGUGCCAGCAGCCGCGUAAUAC